rnacentral:lncRNA from 1 species
UUCCAAAAUUUGUCAUUUUCAAUUUUGCAAGUCAAUUUAUGGAUUAUGAUCCCGAGUCAAUCUUCUUAGUUUUUAUUGGCUCCAAACUCUUUAUUUUUUUCUUGAUUCAUUUAAUAUUUAAUUAUGGAUGAAUCAAUUAGUAUUGAUGCUUUAUUACACUGUCUUUUAUGAGAUGACUCGUAGACCUUGCAUAUUGGAAUUCUAUAUCAUUGAUAUUCUUUUUCUCUCUUUCUCUCAUCCUUCCAUUUAUCCACACCUUUACUUCUUUCAUUUUGUUUUACAACUUCUAAUUAAAGUUUAUGCAAAAAAUAAAUAAAAUUCAGUUGCUGCAAAGAUAUGACUGAUUUAUCAUAUCUCGACUGGUUCUCCUCCGAUUAUAUUUUCUAAAUCGUCCACACUAACAAUCCAUCCUUCCCCUCCAAAGGGCGAUUUUAGUAAAUAACAAAAUAUAAUACUUGGGCUAAGGGUGAAGUUGGUAAUUUUUCUUACAUCUCCCCUUCCCGGAGCCCAAGUAUCAUAUACGCCCCCAAAAUAAAGAGUCUUGAAUACUAGAAGAAAAGCACCUAGACCUAACAAGAUUAAGUGAAUACCUAAAAUUGUGGUCAUUUUAUUUCUAUCUUUCCAUACAUAACCGAAGAAUGGAAAAGAUUCCUCAAGUGUCUCAGGUCCAGAAGUGCAUGAUAAAUACCACCAAAGCCCAAUACUGUAGAGGAAAUUAAAUGAAGUACAACUUAAUAAGAUUCUGAAAGGAGGGUUCAUUUUAUUUAAAUUAAAUAACUAAAAUUUUAUCAUUUGUUGAAGAAGUUUUGAUAGCUACGGAUCACAAAAAACACUAAAAUCAUAACAGAAAAAUGUAUUGUGGAAAAAUCGAUAGUUUCUUUUUUAGUUCCGAAAAUGAAACUAAAAUUCAAAUAGAAAAAUAAAAAGAAUGUAAAUAGUCUUUCUUCUUUUUGUUGUUGUUUGAAUAUUUUAUAUUACUGUAAAAAAUAUAUAUAUA